GACGAACGCUGGCGGCGUGCUUAACACAUGCAAGUCGAACGGAAAGGCCCUUCGGGGUACUCGAGUGGCGAACGGGUGAGUAACACGUGGGUGAUCUGCCCUGCACUUUGGGAUAAGCCUGGGAAACUGGGUCUAAUACCGAAUAGGACCACGCGCUUCAUGGUGUGUGGUGGAAAGCUUUUGCGGUGUGGGAUGGGCCCGCGGCCUAUCAGCUUGUUGGUGGGGUAAUGGCCUACCAAGGCGACGACGGGUAGCCGGCCUGAGAGGGUGACCGGCCACACUGGGACUGAGAUACGGCCCAGACUCCUACGGGAGGCAGCAGUGGGGAAUAUUGCACAAGGGGCGCAAGCCUGAUGCAGCGACGCCGCGUGAGGGAUGACGGCCUUCGGGUGGUAAACCUCUUUCAAUAGGGACGAAGCGCAAGUGACGGUACCUAUAGAAGAAGCACCGGCCAACUACGU
rnacentral:rRNA from 1 species